CUGCGGAAGGAUCAUUGA
rnacentral:rRNA from 4 species